rnacentral:rRNA from 1 species
CGUGUAGGCGGUCGGGUAAGUGGAAUGUGAAAUGCCCCGGCUCACCCGGGGACCUGCAUCCCAAACUGCCUGGCUUGAGUAUGGGAGAGGAUGGAGGAAUUCCUGGUGUAGCGGUGAAAUGCGUAGAUAUCAGGAGGAGCACCGGUGGCGAAGGCGUCCAUCUGGCCCAAUACUGACGCUGAUGCGCGAAAGCUAGGGGAGCGAACGGGAUUAGAUACCCCGGUAGUCCUAGCCGUAAACGGUGAUCACUAGGUGUUGGGGGCAUCGACCCCUCCAGUGCCGCAGCUAACGCAUUAAGUGAUCCGCCUGGGGAGUACGGCCGCAAGGUUGAA